UACGUAGGGUGCGAGCGUUUAAUCGGAAUUACUGGGCGUAAAGGGCGCGCAGGCGGCCCUCCAAGUCAGGCGUGAAAGCCCCGGGCUCAACCCGGGAAUAGCGCUUGAGACUGGGGGGCUUGAGUUCGGGAGAGGAGAGUGGAAUUCCCAGUGUAGAGGUGAAAUUCGUAGAUAUUGGGAAGAACACCGGUGGCGAAGGGCGGCUCACUGGCCCGGUACUGACGCUGAGGUG
rnacentral:rRNA from 1 species